rnacentral:lncRNA from 1 species
UAUGUAUGUAUGUAGAUAUAUAUAUGCACACAUAUUUUCCAAGCUUGAGAGAAAAUGUUUUGCAUUUGCAGCCUUUGAGAGAUCUAUUUUUUCUAUUGAGAAUAAGAGUGAAAUGUUACAUGAGUGCUGGAGAUGCACCUUCAAGCCAAGAAAAUAUUGGGUGCUAAUGGACUCUUCAAGAAGCAAUCUGGGAUCUGAGAACUGAAAGAAGAAAAAAAUGAUUUGGAAUAGUGAGUGUGAUUUGCAGUGCAGAAGUAAAGAGGAACAGGAGGAAGACAUGAUGUAUGCUGACCCUCUGCAUCACCAGGAGAUGCUCUGUCAAAGUGUUCAACUUUUCCUUCUGAUCCUGACACGUUCCUGGUCGUCACAAGAAGCAAUGAUUGUUCUGAACACAGUGCUGCAGUGGGCAGCAGAGCAUCCAUCUGAAAGGGAAAGACGAGACUUUUUAUAUCUUUUCUAGCUGACAUGUCUGAGGCUGCUGCAAGAGGAAUUGUGGUGCAGUAAAGAUGUGUGAGAUGAACUGAUGGGAAGCUUGGGGAUGCAGGCAGGCUCCAGCUGGAGCAAGACUUCUACACAGAGAUCAAACUGUUCUGGCAGAUAAUUUAUUACCUUUCUCAAACAAAUCAGGUUGGCCUAAGGGUCAUUAAUGUUUAUAGUGAAGUCCUAUUUAAGCAAAUAUAAACCUUAUGCUCAGCAGAGAUCACAUUAAAAAAGAAAAUAAUCACAUACAUUGUCUUUCUUGUGCUUGCCUCUGCCUCCGAUUUCGUGAUGCCAAUAUUAAUUGACUAACAGCAACAGAAAUUGCAUUGAAUGUUGGAGAAACAUUGGGGCCAAGCAGGGCUGUCAUCCACAGCAAGCACAGCCCCUGUACAGCAAGCUGUGGGGCCCAGCUCUCCACUGGCUUGUGUUUGGAGUGUCAUUUCUGUCUGUACAAGAAUGAUGUGAAAUCAGGAGGAUGCCUUUCACCUUCCUACAAAUGGCUUCUCAAGGUGUCUGUGCUCCUCUGUGCGAAAGCAAGCGCUCCCAUGCAUUGAGAGCUUCUCUCGAUACUAAGAAAAUGGCCAGAGAAGGACAAAAGUAAGGGAUCUAGGCCAUGGUUUGGUCCACAUGUCCACACAUGGGGGUGCUGCCCUAUACAAACCACCACACAUACAUCCUUUGUAAAGAAAGGAACACAAAACGGCAGCUGUGAGACAGGGGGAGGACUUGUCAUCAUUAAAACAUGCAGAAAAAUCAAAAUACGCUUGCUACCUAGGCCAUCAGUGUAAAAUAUUGUUGUGCAGCUCAUGUUAAUCACAGGGGAAAACAUGCUGAAAUUGCUCAGAUUUUUACAAUUUGCUUUUUGAGAUGCAACAAUUUCUCCUCAGUAUCCUGACCUGCCAUAUUGGUUGCUUCAUACUUAAUGCUCACUCAUGCAGGCCAGCCAGAAAUAAAGUAUUUCCACAGAUUAAAACUGCCUCA